rnacentral:lncRNA from 1 species
AAACUUUGCAAGAGCAUGAGGGAGAAGCAGAGAUAAAUAUUUAAAUUAUCUACACUGUUGGAAAAGAAGAAUGAUAUAGCUUUUCCUUAAGGAGAAAUGAAAUGUCUAAAAAUUAGGUAAAUGUUGACAUGUCUGAAAACAAGCUAAAGCAGAAGAGGUGAAAAGAGAAGAAAACUCUAUAAUCCACCUAGUCGUCUGCAUCCUUUCAAUAAGAAGUUGACACUUCAAUGAAUUGCUAAUCAGAUCCACUGCCACCUGCGAUUUUUCAGUCAGGACAGUAGCUAAGAGUUGCAGUGGACUAUUUAAUGGAAGCGGGAGAUUGCAUGGCUUGAUGAGCGGUGCUAGGUCUGCGCCUGGGAUCUGAACCUGCGAACACUGGACCACCAAAGUGGAGCAUACAAACUUAACUGCUACAGCACCAGGCUGGCCCAUUGACUUCAUUAUGGUAAAAUUUUGCUGUAGUAUGACUUUCUAUGGCAACCUGCAUGAAGGUGGGGAGAAGAGUUGGCUUAAUCCAGUGCUACAUUUUUAAACUAUAUGAUAUAAAAGAAAGUGAAGAAGUGGAGUCAGCAUUGUCAAGAUUUUGUCUGAUGUGUUGCCCUGGAUAUCUUAGAUGACUGAAGUUUAAAAGCUAGGAUUGGAAGAGUCUGAUACAUAGAGAAGAAUUAGAAGUGUCCAUGUUUUUUGAGAUUAAAGAAUAAGCAAAACGAGAAGGAGAAGAAAAAUGAGUUUUUCAGCAAAGAGAAUGAGUUGGAAUUUCACAUGAUGGAGUAGCGUGUGUCACAAUCGGAGCGGGAGGUUGAAGUAGAGUGGCCUUCCAGGGUCCUUGAAGUGCUGCUGGGCUGAGACGAAUUAUUCUCACUCAUAGUUUCCCUGAAUAAAUUAACAUUGUUAUUGACCCUGCCUCCUCUGAAGAAUUUCAUCUUAGAACUGCGAUUUAUUUUAUUUCAAAAGUUACUGAAAAAAUGGAGUAAACUCAUCACCUCUUUUCCUUCUUCACACACUUCAUCUGACUGGGCAUUGAUGACAUCUCCAAUUACCAUCUUCUUCACUGAUGUCUCCACAACAUUUGAAGGUGUUGAUUUUACCAAGUUAGAUAUUAUCUUCUCAAAUUUACUCCACAGCCAUAUACACUCUCAAUUCUCUUCCAUUUCCAAUAACUAUUUUACAUAUGUCCUUGUUGGCAGCUUUUCUUAAGACCUAGCUGUCUAAACACACAGGGAUUACUGAUCUAUAGUUUGUCUAUUCCAUCAUUUCACAAAGCAUCAUUUUCAUGAAGAUUAUUGUCAAAUCUAGCAUU